UACGUAGGGUGCGAGCGUUGUCCGGAUUUAUUGGGCGUAAAGAGCUCGUAGGCGGUUUGUCGCGUCGGCCGUGAAAUCUCCACGCUUAACGUGGAGCGUGCGGUCGAUACGGGCAGACUUGAGUUCGGUAGGGGAGACUGGAAUUCCUGGUGUAGCGGUGAAAUGCGCAGAUAGUCAGGAGGAACACCGGUGGCGAAAGCGGCGCGC
rnacentral:rRNA from 1 species